rnacentral:rRNA from 1 species
UAAGGAAUAUUGGUCAAUGGAGGCAACUCUGAACCAGCCAUGCCGCGUGGAGGAUGAAGGUCCUCUGGAUUGUAAACUUCUUUUAUAGGGGACGAAAAAAGGGCUUUUUAGCUCGACUGACGGUACCCUAUGAAUAAGCACCGGCUAACUCCGUGCCAGCAGCCGCGGUAAUACGGAGGGUGCAAGCGUUAUCCGGAUUUACUGGGUUUAAAGGGAGCGCAGGUGGGUUGCCAAGUCCGAGGUGAAAUCUCCGAGCUUAACUCGGAAACUGCCUUGGAUACUGGUAGUCUUGAAUAUUGUGGAGGUUAGCGGAAUAUGUCAUGUAGCGGUGAAAUGCUUAGAUAUGACAUAGAACACCAAUUGCGAAGGCAGCUGGCUACACAUAUAUUGACACUGAGGCUCGAAAGCGUGGGGAUCAAACAGG